UAACCUAUUGCAACUAUAGAGUGUGCCUAAGCCAAUGAUUAGACAUCGGCUGUUCGGAUCCACCCUUACGUCGUGGCACAAGUCCAUUGCGGUAGUUUAUUGUUUGGGGAUUCAGUUUCAUGCAAGGGGAAUCAUAUUGGUUGAAACCUUGAAGUUGAACAUGAAGGGCACAAUGUUGAUUUCCAUUUGGUGUUUCCCUUGUUGAGCACAUUAGUAGAUGGUCUCUUAUUGAAUUAUGGCAGUGAUAGUGUGGUAUUGUUGUGUAUUUUGUUUUCUUCUUUUAGUAGACCAAUUAUUUCAGAGCAAUUAAUUUGGGAUGCUACAAUACCGAUAGACAUGUGGCUAUCCCUUCAUUUUAUCAAGGAUCAUUAUUGUUGAUAAAAGGACAUUUACAUA